rnacentral:rRNA from 1 species
UACGUAGGCAGCGAGCGUUGUUCGGAGUUACUGGGCGUAAAGGGUGUGUAGGCGGUUCUCUAAGUUUGGUGUGAAAUCUCCCGGCUCAACCGGGAGGGUGCGCCGAAAACUGGAGGGCUAGAGUGCGGGAAGGGAGAGUAGAAUUCCUGGUGUAGCGGUGAAAUGCGUAGAUAUCAGGAGGAAUACCGGUGGUGUAGACGGCUCUCUGGACCGCGACUGACGCUGAGACACGAAAAGCGUGGGUAGCAAACAGG